UGGGGCGUCGCCAAGCGGUAAGGCACCAGGUUUUGAUCCUGGCAUACGCAGGUUCGACCAGAUCCGCCGGGAGCGGAUCGGAACAGCGGCGCAGCCGCUGGCCCGAAGGGCGAAGGGCAGGAGGCCCGGAGUCAUCCUGCCGCCCCAG
rnacentral:tRNA from 1 species